GUUUCUGUGGCGCAAUCGGUUAGUGCGUUCGGCUGUUAACCGAAAGGUUAAUGGUUCGAAUCCAUCCAGAAACG
rnacentral:tRNA from 1 species